rnacentral:rRNA from 1 species
CAGCCGCCGCGGUAAUGCGAAGGGUGCAAGCGUUACUCGGAAUUACUGGGCGUAAAGCGUGCGUAGGUGGUGGUUUAAGUCCGUUGUGAAAGCCCUGGGCUCAACCUGGGAAUUGCAGUGGAUACUGGAUCACUAGAGUGUGGUAGAGGAUAGUGGAAUUUCCGGUGUAGCAGUGAAAUGCGUAGAGAUCGGAAGGAACAUCUGUGGCGAAGGCGACUAUCUGGGCCAACACUGACACUGAGGCACGAAAGCGUGGGGAGCAAACAGGAUUAGAUACCCGUGUAGUCCCUGUCUCUUAUAC